GAUCAUGGCUCAGGAUGAACGCUGGCGGCGUGCUUAACACAUGCAAGUCGAGCGGAGAUAAAUUGAAAGCUUGCUUUUAAUUUAUCUUAGCGGCGGACGGGUGAGUAACGUGUGGGCAACCUGCCUCAUACAGAGGGAUAAUCAUGUGAAAACGUGACUAAUACCGCAUGUCGUUUCGGGAGGCAUCUCCUCGAAAGAAAAGGAAGGCAAUACCGGUUACGUGAGAAUGGGCCCGGCCAU
rnacentral:rRNA from 1 species